UACGUAGGGUGCGAGCGUUUAAUCGGAAUUACUGGGCGUAAAGCGUGCGUAGGCGGUUGGCAAAGUCAGCUGUGAAAGCCCCGGGCUUAACCUGGGAAUGGCGGUUGAAACUAGUCGACUAGAAUCUGGCAGAGGGGGGUGGGAAUUCCACGGUGGUAGCAGGUGGAAAUGCGUAGGAAGAAUGGCGGGAUGGAACACCGGA
rnacentral:rRNA from 1 species